UACGUAGGGUGCAAGCGUUUGUCCGGAAUUAUUGGGCGUAAAGAGCUCGUAGGCGGUCUGUCGCGGUCUGCUGUGAAAACUCAGGCUUAACCCUGAGCUUGCAGUGGGUACGGGCAGACUAGAGUGCGGUAGGGGAGACUGGAAUUCCUGGUGUAGACGGUGAAAUGCGCAGAUAUCAGGAGGAACACCGGGUGGCGAAGGCGGGUCUCUGGGCCGUAACUGACGCU
rnacentral:rRNA from 1 species